UACGUAGGGCGCAAGCGUUUUCCGGAAUUAUUGGGCGUAAAGAGCUCGUAGGCGGCUUGUCACGUCGGGUGUGAAAGCCCGGGGCUUAACCCCGGGUCUGCAUUCGAUACGGGCUGGCUAGAGUGUGGUAGGGGAGAUCGGAAUUCCUGGUGUAGCGGUGAAAUGCGCAGAUAUCAGGAGGAACACCGGUGGCGAAGGCGGAUCUCUGGGCCAUUACUGACGCUGAGGAGCGAAAGCGUGGGGAGCGAACAGG
rnacentral:rRNA from 1 species